rnacentral:rRNA from 1 species
UACGUAGGGUGCGAGCGUUAAUCGGAAUUACUGGGCGUAAAGCGUGCGCAGGCGGUCUGUUAAGUCAGAUGUGAAAGCCCCGGGCUCAACCUGGGAAUGGCGUUUGAAACUGGCAGGCUCGAGUUUGGCAGAGGGAGGUGGAAUUCCACGUGUAGCAGUGAAAUGCGUAGAGAUGUGGAGGAACACCGAUGGCGAAGGCAGCCUCCUGGGCCAGAACUGACGCUCAUGCACGAAAGCGUGGGGAGCAAACAGG